rnacentral:rRNA from 1 species
CUUUGCUGGCGACCGGCGCACGGGUGAGUAACACGUAUCCAACCUGCCCUUUACUCGGGGAUAGCCUUUCGAAAGAAAGAUUAAUACCCGAUAGCAUAAUGAUUCCGCAUGGUUUCAUUAUUAAAGGAUUCCGGUAAAGGAUGGGGAUGCGUUCCAUUAGGUUGUUGGUGAGGUAACGACUCACCAAGCCUUCGAUGGAUAGGGGUUCUGAGAGGAAGGUCCCCCACAUUGGAACUGAGACACGGUCCAA